GAUGAACGCUGGCGGCGUGCCUAACACAUGCAAGUCGAACGAACACACGAGGAGUUUUUGCCUCUGACGGUGGCGAGGGACGGACGAGUAACACAUGCAUAACCUACCUCUCUGACUGGGGUGACUACGGGAGACAGGUUCUACUAACGAAUGACAUGUCGAACCGCAUGGUUCAACAGUGAAUGACGCUCUUCGUGUCACUAAUAGAUGGAUCCGCGUCGCAUUAGCUAGUUGGUAAGGUAACGGCUUACCAAGGCAACGAUGCGUAGCCGACCUGAGAGGGUGAUCGGCCACACUGGAACUGAGACACGGUCCAGACUCCUACGGGAGGCAGCAGUAGGGAAUCUUCCGCAAUGGGCGAAAGCCUGACGGAGCAACGCCGCGUGAGUGAAGAAGGUCUUCGGAUCGUAAAGCUCUGUUGUUAGGGAAGAAAAAAAGCGUAUGUAACUAUGCACGUAAUGACGGUACCUAAAGAGUAAGCACCGGCUAACUACGUG
rnacentral:rRNA from 1 species